rnacentral:tRNA from 1 species
UGAAUUAAAGCCCGCUGGAUUGGGUGUUUAGUUGUUAGUUAAAAUUUUGCGGGAUCGAGGCCCGUUAGUUCAG